UGCGAGGUAGAGCAGUGGUAGCUCGUUGGGCUCAUAACCCAAAGGUCGCAGGUUCAAAUCCUGCCCUCGCCA
rnacentral:tRNA from 1 species